GACGAACGCUGGCGGCGUGCCUAAUACAUGCAAGUAGAACGCACAGUUUAUACCGUAGCUUGCUACACCAUAAACUGUGAGUUGCGAACGGGUGAGUAACGCGUAGGUAACCUGCCUGGUAGCGGGGGAUAACUAUUGGAAACGAUAGCUAAUACCGCAUAAUAUUGAUUAUUGCAUGAUAAUUGAUUGAAAGAUGCUAUUGCAUCACUACCAGAUGGACCUGCGUUGUAUUAGCUAGUAGGUGAGGUAACGGCUCACCUAGGCGACGAUACAUAGCCGACCUGAGAGGGUGGUCGGCCACACUGGGACUGAGACACGGCCCAGACUCCUACGGGAGGCAGCAGUAGGGAAUCUUCGGCAAUGGACGAAAGUCUGACCGAGCAACGCCGCGUGAGGGAAGAAGGUUUUCGGAUCGUAAAGCUCUGUUGUAAGAGAAGAACGGGUGUGAGAGUGGAAAGUUCACACUGUGACGGUAACUUACCAGAAAGGGACGGCUAACUACGUG
rnacentral:rRNA from 1 species